rnacentral:rRNA from 1 species
AAGUCGUAACAAGGUUUCCGUAGGUGAACCUGCGGAAGGAUCAUUACCGAAUUGUCGACACGAGUUGUUGCUGGUCCUCAAACGGGGGCAUGUGCACGCUCUGUUUACACAUCCACUCACACCUGUGCACCUUCUGUAGUUCUGUGGCAUGGGGGGCUCUGUCCUCCUGCCGUGGUCCUACGUCUUUACACACACCCUGUAACAAAGUCUCAUGGAAUGCAUGACGCGUUUAACGCAAUACAAUACAACUUUCAGCAACGGAUCUCUUGGCUCUCGCAUCGAUGAAGAACGCAGCGAAAUGCGAUAAGUAAUGUGAAUUGCAGAAUUCAGUGAAUCAUCGAAUCUUUGAACGCAUCUUGCGCUCCCUGGUAUUCCAAGGAGCAUGCCUGUUUGAGUAUCAUUAAAUUAUCAACUGUGCCAAUUUGGUUACAGAUUGGAUGUGGGAGAUUUCUUGCAGGCUUUUGACUUUCUCUUUGAGAAGGAAAAGAAAAAAGCCAGCUCUCCUGAAAUGUAUUAGCAGUGCCUUUGUUGGUUCAUUAGGUGUGAUAAUUUAUCUACAUCUUCAAAUGGUACCUUCAUUUGUAAAGGUCAUAUUGCUUCUAAUUGUCUUUGGGACAAAACACGUAUAAUGCGUGACAGACUUGAUCUCAAAUCAGGCAGGACUACCCGCUGAACUUAAGCAUAUCAAUAAGCGGAGGAAAAGAAACUAACAAGGAUUCCCCUAGUAACUGCGAGUGAAGCGGGAAAAGCUCAAAUUUAAAAUCUGACAGUUGUUCUGGCUGUCCGAGUUGUAAUCUAAAGAAGCGUUUACCCGCGCUGGACCGUGUACAAGUCUCCUGGAAUGGAGCAUCAUAGAGGGUGAGAAUCCCGUCUUUGACAUGGACUACCAGGGCUUUGUGGUGCGCUCUCAAAGAGUCGAGUUGUUUGGGAAUGCAGCUCAAAAUGGGUGGUAAAUGCCAUCUAAAGCUAAAUAUUGGCGAGAGACCGAUAGCGAACAAGUACCGUGGGGGAAAGAUGAAAAGAACUUUGGAAAGAGAGUUAAACAGUACGUGAAAUUGCUGAAAGGGAAACGCUUGAAGUCAGUCGCAUCGACUGGAAAUCAACCUUGCUUUUGCUUGGUGUAUUUUCUGGCUUGAUGGGUCAGCAUCAAUUUUGGUCGCUGGAUAAAGGCUUGGGGAAUGUGGCAUCUUAGGAUGUGUUAUAGCCCUCGGUUGCAUACAGCGGUUGGGAUUGAGGAACUCAGCACGCCGCAAGGCCGGGUCGUUUUACGACCACGUUUACGUGCUUAGGAUGCUGGCAUAAUGGCUUUAAUCGACC